UACGAAGGGUGCUAGCGUUGCUCGGAAUCACUGGGCGUAAAGCGCACGUAGGCGGUUUGCUAAGUCAGGGGUGAAAUCCUGGAGCUCAACUCCAGAACUGCCUUUGAUACUGGCGAUCUUGAGUCCGGGAGAGGUGAGUGGAACUGCGAGUGUAGAGGUGAAAUUCGUAGAUAUUCGCAAGAACAUCAGUGGCGAAGGCGGCUCACUGGCCCGGUACUGACGCUGAGGUGCGAAAGCGUGGGGAGCAAACAGG
rnacentral:rRNA from 1 species